GACUCGGUGGCGAAGGGUAUCGCGUCCGCUUCACCUGAUAUAGUUGAUCGAUCGUCGCAGAAGGCGCCUGUUCGACUCAGGCCCGAGUUA